rnacentral:rRNA from 1 species
AUUGAACGCUGGCGGCAGGCCUAACACAUGCAAGUCGAGCGGAUGAAGGGAGCUUGCUCCUGGAUUCAGCGGCGGACGGGUGAGUAAUGCCUAGGAAUCUGCCUGGUAGUGGGGGAUAACGUCCGGAAACGGGGGCUAAUACCGAAUACGUCCUGAGGGAGAAAGUGGGGGGUCUUCGGACCUCACGCUAUCAGAUGAGCCUAGGUCGGAUUAGCGAGUUGGUGGGGUAAAGGCCUACCAAGGCGACGAUCCGUAACUGGUCUGAGAGGAUGAUCAGUCACACUGGAACUGAGACACGGUCCAGACUCCUACGGGAGGCAGCAGUGGGGAAUAUUGGACAAUGGGCGAAAGCCUGAUCCAGCCAUGCCGCGUGUGUGAAGAAGGUCUUCGGAUUGUAAAGCACUUUAAGUUGGGAGGAAGGGCAGUAAGUUAAUACCUUGCUGUUUUGACGUUACCAACAGAAUAAGCACCGGCUAACUUCGUG